rnacentral:lncRNA from 1 species
GCUGAUGUUACUUAUUGAGUAAUUAUUUAUUUUAUUUACACUCUAAGUACUCUUAUCUCUGAUUUCAUCAAAUUUGAUUUAUGUUUUCCAAGACUUGGCCGGACUUGAAGAUCGGAGUGAAACCAAUGAUGCGAGAGAUCAAAAGUGAGGCCGAAGCUCCAUCUAGCUCCAUUCUGAGAUGGAAGGACGAAGCUGAGUAUGAUUAUUGCGGAAAAUGGAUCAGCACCGAAAAUAACAGCCCACAAGACAGGAGGUUUUUUGCCGAUCCAGUUCGGAGUGACUCCAUUUUUCGGGGAGAUCAACAUUAUCUAAGCGAUGAUGGUCUCAAGGCAGACUUUAUAGGUUCCAUAGUUGAAUCGGCACUUAAUUCCUUCUCACUAUGACCGACGUAUUCAGUUAUUAUUGUUGCUUCGUGCCCAGCUGUGCAAACACAGUAGCACUGCACCUGGCAAAAUUUUUAUCAGUGUUUCCGAAGAAGGAAGAGCAAAGAAAAGCUUGGAGCGAAGCUGCAAGACUGCAUAAACCUUUAUCUGAAAAAUGCAACUACUACUGCUGUGAUGAUCAUUUCAAUGUAGGUGUUUAAAAAGUUUUUCACUAUAUUUUGCUUUGUAUAUUUAUUUAAGUCUUCUUGAGGAAAAAUAGAUCAAUAGGACGCAUCUAGAUCAAGAUGGAUC